GCCCUGGUGGCUCAGCCUGGUAGAGCGCCUCCUUGGUAAGGAGGAAGUCGCGGGUUCGAAGCCCGCCCAGGGCUCCA
rnacentral:tRNA from 1 species